rnacentral:rRNA from 1 species
GACGAACGCUGGCGGCGUGCUUAACACAUGCAAGUCGAACGGAAAGGCCUGCUUUCCCUUGUGGAUUGCGGGUACUCGAGUGGCGAACGGGUGAGUAACACGUGAGUGAUCUGCCCCCAACUUGGGUAUAAGCCUGGGAAACUGGGUCUAAUUCCCGAUAGGACUGCAGGGUGGUGCCUGUGGUGGAAAACGAUUUUCUAGUGGUUGGGGAUGAGCUCGCGGCCUAUCAGCUUGUUGGUGGGGUAAUGGCCUACCAAGGCGGCGAUGGGUAGCCGGCCUGAGAGGGUGGACGGCCACAUUGGGACUGAGAUACGGCCCAGACUCCUACGGGAGGCAGCAGUGGGGAAUACUGCACAAUGGGCGGAAGCCUGAUGCAGCGACGCCGCGUGGGGGAUGACGGCCUUCGGGUUGUAAACUCCUUUCGACCGCGAGGAAGCCACCUGGUUGGAAGGGUGGUGACGGUAGUGGUAGAAGAAGCACCGGCUAACUACGUG